GAUGAACGCUAGCGGCAGGCUUAAUACAUGCAAGUCGAGGGGCAGCGCAGUGUAGCAAUACAUGGGCGGCGACCGGCAAACGGGUGCGGAACACGUACAGAACCUUCCUUCGAGCGGGGAAUAGCCCAGAGAAAUUUGGAUUAAUACCCCAUAGUAUAUUGAAAGGCAUCCUUUUAAUAUUAAAGAUUUAUCACUUGAAGAUGGCUGUGCGGCUGAUAGGUAGUUGGCGGGGUAACGGCCCACCAAGCCAUCGAUCAGUAACUGGUGUGAGAGCACGACCAGUCACACGGGCACUGAGACACGGGCCCGACUCCUACGGGAGGCAGCAGUAAGGAAUAUUGGUCAAUGGACGCAAGUCUGAACCAGCCAUGCCGCGUGGAGGAUGAAGGUCCUCUGGAUUG
rnacentral:rRNA from 1 species